CCAGAAAUGUCCUUUAAUUUGCUUAAAGGAACACUAUAGUGUCAGGAAUACAAACAUAUAUUCCUGACACCAUAGUUGUGAAAACGCUAUUCACCCUGGCUUUAUGUGAUAAUGGCUAUGCCCCUUCCCUUUCAUGACACUGUCAAAAAGGUACCAAGCAUGGAUGUCAUUACAAUUAUGCCCCCCCCUGGAAAAAUUCCUGCGGACGCCCAUGGUCUCAACCCACAUACUACACUGCAAACAGACUCAUUCACACACUCAACUCCACCAGAAGCCUCACUGUAAGCACACAAUCCCACAAGCAGCAUCCCCACACUUGGAAAACAACAUGCAGCCUCCCUACGGACAGUUAUCACAAGCAGCAUUCCUACCAUUGCAAUAUUGCAUACAGCCUCCUUACACAAACACUCACACACACACAGCAUAAUUACAACCAUCUAUAUAGCACAAACAUAUUCUGCAGCGCAGUACAAUAGGUAAAAGGCAAAAAAUUAUACACAACACGUUGACAUACAGGAACACAUCACAAGCAGCAUUCCACACACUGAACCCCACAAGUCGCCUACAAACGUUUCCAGGCUACUUGUAUGGACUUGUAUGAUUGAAAACAAAUGUGGGGGAUGCUGCUUGUGAUGUCACCAGCAAACAAAGGGGGGAAAAACUUUGCACCAGAAGGGGGCCCUUGGUCUCCUAUUGUCCAAAGGCCCUGUGAGUUGUCAGUCCGCCCCUGAGCCCUGUUGUACGUGAAUAUAUGUAUGUCUUUGUGUGUAGUGUCGGGAUAUGUCGAUUCAGAGUAUAUUUAAAUACAUGAUUUAAAUUUAGUUUUUUUAAAUAGAUCAGUAUUUUUUAUGUGUGCUUGUGUAGCAUGGCAGUAUGUAUAAGGGGGUAUUUGUGAAUUUUGGCAAUGUGUUUGUUUGAGGUAUGCAGGCCUCAAAAUGUUGUAUCCUAAAUUACAAACCAGGUGUUAAACGUUAUGAGCCACCUUAAAUUAAUGCUAUAGUGUCUGGAAUAGAAAUGUAUAUUCCUGACACUACAGGUUUAAAAUAGCGGAUUAAGUCGCCGACGCCCAUUACCCACCUGUUAAAAAGGUGAUUUACUUACUUUUUUUCCUGCGCCACCCUGGUGUCCUCAUGGCUGGCCCAGUCCCCGUCAAAUUAGAUGAUCUCAGCCAAUCUAAUGCUUUACCAUAGGAAAGCAUUGAAAGGCUAUUGCCUGAUCUUCUUCGCCCCCCUCAGAAGUCACUGGUGCUGCGGCUUAUAGAGAAGUUUGUGAUUAGACCAUUUUGUCAGGUCAUAGUGCUCCUAGCCACUGACAGACACACACACUCUGUCCCCCGACAAACACGCGGACCAACUGCAGUCCCGGUCCCGAGCCCCCCCCCCUCUGGACUGGGGGGGUAAUCCCGGUCCAAGCCCCAUAGCCACACUCGGAGGCACUGACAUGCCACUAUACAGGCCCAAGGCCCACGUCUAAGAUGGCAUAGGCCAUAUGCGCAGGAACCGAAACGCAGAGCCCAAAGCGAACUACAGCCACCAUCCAGCCCAGCGCACAGGGCAACAAGCACCAAAUGACCCGUAUCAGGCAGCAGUUCCCAAGUCCAGAGACACUCCAGGCGCAUGGCGUUAGUAACCUAACACGACGCACUAUCCACGUGGAUAAUGCUACUGUGAAGAUCACUCACCCUUCAUCUGAGCUGGGCGCUCACCAGGAGGAACUCCUCCACAGCCUGCCAUACCCCCAGGGAGAAGUUCGGGAUAAGGCGGAACCCUGGGCCCACGAUCCUGCUGAUGGGAUCAAUGGCGAACGGGCGCGAGCGCCUAUUAAGGCCUCAGGCCAAAGAAAAGCGGCCCUUUAGCGCAGAGACACCACGACAGCAGAAACAUCGCGGAAACCCGCGCCAGCAGGAGGAAUCGGCUGACCCGGGGACCUGAUGAGCCUGGUCAGUGGGGAAAGCACAUGAACUAACCCACAAAAGCGGACUGGUACUGUACAUCCACGAGUUAUACCGAGUGGCCAAAUGACACACCUGUUCAGGUCACACAGAUAAACCCAGCUGUUCUUAUGGUCCUUACUAAGCUGCCCCCCUCAACUAACAUAUGUGUUAACAAACCUAACAUGUGGCAACAACCGACAAACCGCAGCAACAUUGAACGAAACAACACGAUUAGCCUGUUUGUUUGCCAAAACCAUAUGGUAUUAUCAACGCGACAACUUCAGCCUGACUCACAAACUACUUGCCCAAUGUGUGUCUGAGACCCCACUUAGUCUUGCAUCACUCUUUCAUUAACCUACCAAGACAGGCAUUGCAGCUGAGUGAAUCUACACUACCACAGCACUAUCACAAUCAUACAUGCCGAGCUAACCUGACAUAGCGACAUCCUUUAAAAUAUAAAAUUAAGUAGACAUUCAUGAGAAUAUGUAUCAAUGUUAAUGGUUAUUGCAAAUGUAUGAUUACUCGCUGAUAUAUUAUUCACCCUUUUCUUCUCUUCUGUAACGAACUCACAUUGCUUCAAUAAAACAAAGAUUUACAAAAAAUUAACUGUUCAAUAAUUAUCUUGUUGCUCCUCAUGCAUACCUGCAUAAUUAUAUUAUAUCAAGUAGGAUUUGAGUUGAUGAAGGAACAAAGUGCCGAUAAACAAUGAUCUCCAUAGGCAAAACAAACUAAAGCUAGUGUAAAUAACAUAAUAACAUCAAAUUAUAUCGUGAC